rnacentral:lncRNA from 1 species
CGGCACUCAUAGGAGCGAUCCAACUGAGUAUGCAAGUGUGUCUCUGUCGAGCUCAAUCAGGCUUUCACAGGCUAUAGUCAAUGCAAACAGGUCAAACUGAUCUAACAAGCAAGGCUCACGUGCCCUCGGCACAAUCUGAUAUAAGAUGUAAACAUCUAGGUCCACCGUCCGCCCCGACGGCACUCGACAGUAUGAAACAAUCCAAACUCUACUGUAAAAUGAGCUCGGCCCCUCAGCAUGAGUGUAAUCCCAACCUACACUAAUCUAAAUAUUCACGACACACUAACAGCGGUGAUACAACAAAAAAAUUAGCUCAUGAAGCUUGUUGGCAUUCGGUUAAAUCGAAUCGGGUGCGCCCAUGAAUGGGUUCGAUCCGACGGUUAUUACGUUAUCUAAUUGGAUUAGGAUUAAUCUCACUUUUAAAUUGGAAAGCUAAUUAGAGAUAAAUCCUAAUCAUAUUAGGAUAACAAUUAAUAACCGAUUUGGCCUUAUCUAUACUAGAAACCGCAUACUGCCAGCAUAAAGACAUCAACCCUCAAAAAGAAACGUUAGACUCGUGAUGUCCUAGACAAUUGAAUUACAUCAGAUUCAACAUCUCUAAUCCCUCAAAGAGCCAUGCUAACCUCUAUUGCGCACAUUAUGACACUAUACUGAUGAUUGUUUCGCUAUGCUGAAGCGACACAACCUGUCGACAAUGAGUCAAAGUGUCUGAAUGUAAUUCAACUAGUCUUCCUUGAGCCCUCAUGCCACCGAGUUGAGAACUGAUUGCUUUCCCAGCAAUGCCCCGUAAAGCCGCAUCACUCAUAGCCGUAGGAAACAUGCCAAAGUAACAACAUCAAUUCUUUCACUUAAUGACAUAAUCAAAA